GGUUAAGCGACUAAGCGUACACGGUGGAUGCCCUGGCAGUCAGAGGCGAUGAAGGACGUGCUAAUCUGCGAUAAGCGUCGGUAAGGUGAUAUGAACCGUUAUAACCGGCGAUUUCCGAAUGGGGAAACCCAGUGUGUUUCGACACACUAUCAUUAACUGAAUCCAUAGGUUAAUGAGGCGAACCGGGGGAACUGAAACAUCUAAGUACCCCGAGGAAAAGAAAUCAACCGAGAUUCCCCCAGUAGCGGCGAGCGAACGGGGAGCAGCCCAGAGCCUGAAUCAGUGUGUGUGUUAGUGGAAGCGUCUGGAAAGGCGCGCGAUACAGGGUGACAGCCCCGUACACAAAAAUGCACAUGCUGUGAGCUCGAUGAGUAGGGCGGGACACGUGGUAUCCUGUCUGAAUAUGGGGGGACCAUCCUCCAAGGCUAAAUACUCCUGACUGACCGAUAGUGAACCAGUACCGUGAGGGAAAGGCGAAAAGAACCCCGGCGAGGGGAGUGAAAAAGAACCUGAAACCGUGUACGUACAAGCAGUGGGAGCACGCUUAGGCGUGUGACUGCGUACCUUUUGUAUAAUGGGUCAGCGACUUAUAUUCUGUAGCAAGGUUAACCGAAUAGGGGAGCCGAAGGGAAACCGAGUCUUAACUGGGCGUUAAGUUGCAGGGUAUAGACCCGAAACCCGGUGAUCUAGCCAUGGGCAGGUUGAAGGUUGGGUAACACUAACUGGAGGACCGAACCGACUAAUGUUGAAAAAUUAGCGGAUGACUUGUGGCUGGGGGUGAAAGGCCAAUCAAACCGGGAGAUAGCUGGUUCUCCCCGAAAGCUAUUUAGGUAGCGCCUCGUGAAUUCAUCUCCGGGGGUAGAGCACUGUUUCGGCAAGGGGGUCAUCCCGACUUACCAACCCGAUGCAAACUGCGAAUACCGGAGAAUGUUAUCACGGGAGACACACGGCGGGUGCUAACGUCCGUCGUGAAGAGGGAAACAACCCAGACCGCCAGCUAAGGUCCCAAAGUCAUGGUUAAGUGGGAAACGAUGUGGGAAGGCCCAGACAGCCAGGAUGUUGGCUUAGAAGCAGCCAUCAUUUAAAGAAAGCGUAAUAGCUCACUGGUCGAGUCGGCCUGCGCGGAAGAUGUAACGGGGCUAAACCAUGCACCGAAGCUGCGGCAGCGACGCUUAUGCGUUGUUGGGUAGGGGAGCGUUCUGUAAGCCUGCGAAGGUGUGCUGUGAGGCAUGCUGGAGGUAUCAGAAGUGCGAAUGCUGACAUAAGUAACGAUAAAGCGGGUGAAAAGCCCGCUCGCCGGAAGACCAAGGGUUCCUGUCCAACGUUAAUCGGGGCAGGGUGAGUCGACCCCUAAGGCGAGGCCGAAAGGCGUAGUCGAUGGGAAACAGGUUAAUAUUCCUGUACUUGGUGUUACUGCGAAGGGGGGACGGAGAAGGCUAUGUUGGCCGGGCGACGGUUGUCCCGGUUUAAGCGUGUAGGCUGGUUUUCCAGGCAAAUCCGGAAAAUCAAGGCUGAGGCGUGAUGACGAGGCACUACGGUGCUGAAGCAACAAAUGCCCUGCUUCCAGGAAAAGCCUCUAAGCAUCAGGUAACAUCAAAUCGUACCCCAAACCGACACAGGUGGUCAGGUAGAGAAUACCAAGGCGCUUGAGAGAACUCGGGUGAAGGAACUAGGCAAAAUGGUGCCGUAACUUCGGGAGAAGGCACGCUGAUAUGUAGGUGAGGUCCCUCGCGGAUGGAGCUGAAAUCAGUCGAAGAUACCAGCUGGCUGCAACUGUUUAUUAAAAACACAGCACUGUGCAAACACGAAAGUGGACGUAUACGGUGUGACGCCUGCCCGGUGCCGGAAGGUUAAUUGAUGGGGUUAGCGCAAGCGAAGCUCUUGAUCGAAGCCCCGGUAAACGGCGGCCGUAACUAUAACGGUCCUAAGGUAGCGAAAUUCCUUGUCGGGUAAGUUCCGACCUGCACGAAUGGCGUAAUGAUGGCCAGGCUGUCUCCACCCGAGACUCAGUGAAAUUGAACUCGCUGUGAAGAUGCAGUGUACCCGCGGCAAGACGGAAAGACCCCGUGAACCUUUACUAUAGCUUGACACUGAACAUUGAGCCUUGAUGUGUAGGAUAGGUGGGAGGCUUUGAAGUGUGGACGCCAGUCUGCAUGGAGCCGACCUUGAAAUACCACCCUUUAAUGUUUGAUGUUCUAACGUUGACCCGUAAUCCGGGUUGCGGACAGUGUCUGGUGGGUAGUUUGACUGGGGCGGUCUCCUCCUAAAGAGUAACGGAGGAGCACGAAGGUUGGCUAAUCCUGGUCGGACAUCAGGAGGUUAGUGCAAUGGCAUAAGCCAGCUUGACUGCGAGCGUGACGGCGCGAGCAGGUGCGAAAGCAGGUCAUAGUGAUCCGGUGGUUCUGAAUGGAAGGGCCAUCGCUCAACGGAUAAAAGGUACUCCGGGGAUAACAGGCUGAUACCGCCCAAGAGUUCAUAUCGACGGCGGUGUUUGGCACCUCGAUGUCGGCUCAUCACAUCCUGGGGCUGAAGUAGGUCCCAAGGGUAUGGCUGUUCGCCAUUUAAAGUGGUACGCGAGCUGGGUUUAGAACGUCGUGAGACAGUUCGGUCCCUAUCUGCCGUGGGCGCUGGAGAACUGAGGGGGGCUGCUCCUAGUACGAGAGGACCGGAGUGGACGCAUCACUGGUGUUCGGGUUGUCAUGCCAAUGGCACUGCCCGGUAGCUAAAUGCGGAAGAGAUAAGUGCUGAAAGCAUCUAAGCACGAAACUUGCCCCGAGAUGAGUUCUCCCUGACCCUGAUCAUUUACAUGAGGAUCACCCAUGUUUUUGAUCAAGGGUCCUGAAGGAACGUUGAAGACGACGACGUUGAUAGGCCGGGUGUGUAAGCGCAGCGAUGCGUUGAGCUAACCGGUACUAAUGAACCGUGAGGCUUAACCUU
rnacentral:rRNA from 1 species